rnacentral:rRNA from 1 species
AUACGGAGGAUGCAAGCGUUAUCCGGAUUCAUUGGGUUUAAAGGGUGCGCAGGCGGAGAGAUAAGUCAGUGGUGAAAAACUGCCGCUCAACGGUAGUCUUGCCAUUGGAUACUGUCUUUCUUGAGUAUGGAUGAGGUAGGCGGAAUGUGCAGUGUAGCGGUGAAAUGCAUAGAUAUUGCACGGAACACCAAUUGCGAAGGCAGCUUACUGGACCAUUACUGACGGCUCAGGCACGAAAGCCGUGGGGAUCAAA